rfam:Mus musculus chromosome 18, GRC primary reference assembly.
GAGUGAGCAUAGCUCUUUUAGAAUUUUUCUAGCAAGAUGUUUGACUUUGGUCUGGAAAAUCCAA